rnacentral:rRNA from 1 species
UACGGAGGAUGCGAGCGUUAUCCGGAUUUAUUGGGUUUAAAGGGUGCGUAGGUUGUUUUUUAAGUCAGCGGUAAAAGCACGGGGCUCAACCCCGGCCCGCCGUUGAAACUGGCUUGCUAGAGUGGGCGAGAAGUAUGCGGAAUGCGUGGUGUAGCGGUGAAAUGCAUAGAUAUCACGCAGAACUCCGAUUGCGAAGGCAGCAUACCGGCGCCCAACUGACGCUCAGGCACGAAAGUGCGGGUAUCGAACAGG